UUCCCCGUGAGUAUGCCCUUUAUUCUUAUUGCGAGUUUAUGGAGCUGGUAUCAGGCGCGUUCAAAUACGGCCCAAAACGCCUAGUCAAGCCACGCCCCCAAGGGUUUUCAGCAGUGAUAAAUUUUAGGCCCAUAAGUGAAAACUUGACUUAGCUAAAGUUUAUAAGGACCGGUAAAUUCUGUGCCAGCUACCGCGGUUAGACAGGAGGUCCAAGUCGAUAAGUAUCGGUGUAGAGUGUGGUUAGGGGUUGUGGCAACUAAAGUUGAACAUCUCUUUGGCUGUUAUACGCACUUGGAAGAUGGAAGCACAAUUACGAAAGUGGCUUUAUUUAAGCCUGAGUCCACGACAGUCAAGGAACAAACUGGGAUUAGAUACCCCAUUAUGCUUGACCGUAAACUUUGAUAUUAGCGUACUUUAAUAUUCACCGGGGGACUACGGGCAUCAGCUUAAAACCCAAAGGAUUUGGCGGUAUUUCAGACCCGCCUAGAGGAGCCUGUUCUAUAAUCGAUAAUCCCCGUUCAACCUCACCACCUUUUGUCAAUUCA
rnacentral:rRNA from 1 species